GGCAAUUUGGAGACUUUUUGAGAGCUUUGCUGGAAACAGAGAAGGAAUCGAUUAUUGAGUCAGAAUAUAUUAUUAGGGUUUUGUACCAUUUUAGAGGCAGGUCUGCCUAGAGACCUUUUAGACCUAGUUUUGAGAGAAGCAACCUUAAUACUAUUGGAGAGAGAGCUUAUGAUUAGAGGGAGGGAUCUGAACUUCGUAACAGAGAAGAUCUUGAACUCCAUUGCUUUCAUUAGUCUAUUUAUUGUUUCUCUAGUUAUUCAUUUAUUUAAGAAUUAUUCAGACCAUCAUAACUAUGUUUCUUAUGAUAUUUAGGUUUCUCAUAAGGUUGAUUUAUGUAUUGCUAACAUGAACUAUUGCUAGGGUGUUUAAAAUAUAGUUCUUCAUCUAGUUGCUCUUAAUGUUAAGUUUAUGAUUGAUCACCCUUUAACUUAGAUCUUAGGAUUAAUUGAGACAAGCAAUAACUUGGCCCAAUACCUGAAACUAAACUAGUAUGAUCUAACUGACUAGAUACACACGAAAGUUGGUCUAGUAAGUUAGAGAACACUAAUCAAACCCGCUCGUAAAGCUUUCUAGAAGAAGCAUCGAUCAUAUUUUGAAAGGUGUAUCGAUCGAUAUUCUUUAAGAAUCAUCGAUCGACACUUUCUCGUGAUUGAUAUACGAAAGUUGAAAUCCGAGAUCUAGAUAUAGAUAAUCCAAUUGAUUUUACCCAAGUUUGAGUUCGAGAACAAUUUACAUCUGUAAACCCCUAAUAACUCAAAUAAGUUGGUUACUUAUCAUACAUGAGAUAAUACCUGAAUCUAGCUAUUUCUCCAACUGUUAACAACCUCAUAUCAAACCAAUCGAACAACUCCCUUGUUUACCACUUCAUUUACUGCUUAAAACCUUUUUGUCUAGCUUUAUUUCGAAGACUAUAAAUCUACUGUGUAAUCCUAGAGUCUCUGUGGAUUUGAUCCCUAAGUAUUACAUCUGAACCUCUUAUUUGAGAGAGUAAUUCACUCCUUAGGGUAAUUUGAGUGAUAUCAGGAUGCCACUGAGCUUAUACACUGUCAUUUAUAACAUUAUUAAUAAAUAAUUACAAUCUCGCAUUUUUUUCUACUCUCCAUUUACAAUCUAACAUACUUUGUACAUGUGGUGUACUCUUUGCAAUGUCAAUUACCGAAUGACCUUGUAUAAAUUAAACAUGUUACACCUCUUUCUCUCCCCUAUCUUUCCUCUGCACUCCUCUCUCCCAUCUCUCCUCUUCUCU
rnacentral:lncRNA from 1 species